AUACGUAGGGGGCGAGCGUUGUCCGGAAUGACUGGGCGUAAAGGGCGCGUAGGCGGCGCGGUAAGUCUGGAGUGAAAGUCCUGCUUUCAAGGUGGGAAUUGCUUUGGAUACUGCCGCGCUUGAGUGCAGGAGAGGUUAUCGGAAUUCCCGGUGUAGCGGUGAAAUGCGUAGAGAUCGGGAGGAACACCAGUGGCGAAGGCGGGUAACUGGACUGCAACUGACGCUGAGGCGCGAAAGUGUGGGGAGCAAACAGGAUUAGAUACCCUGGUAGUCCACACUGUAAACGAUGAAUGCUAGGUGUAAGAGGUAUCGACCCCUUUUGUGCCGGAGUCAACACAAUAAGCAUUCCGCCUGGGGAGUACGGCCGCAAGGUUGAAACUCAAAGGAAUUGACGGGG
rnacentral:rRNA from 1 species